rnacentral:rRNA from 1 species
AUUGAACGCUGGCGGCAGGCCUAACACAUGCAAGUCGAACGAGUGGCGGACGGGUGAGUAAUGUCUGGGAAACUGCCCUAUGGAGGGGGAUAACUACUGGAAACGGUAGCUAAUACCGCAUACCAUCAGAUGUGCCCAGAUGGGAUUAGGUGGUAGGUGGGGUAACGGCUCACCUAGGCGACGAUCCCUAGCUGGUCUGAGAGGAUGACCAGCCACACUGGGACUGAGACACGGUCCAGACUCCUACGGGAGGCAGCAGUGGGGAAUAUUGCACAAUGGGCGCAAGCCUGAUGCAGCCAUGCCGCGUGUAUGAAGAAGGCCUUCGGGUUGUAAAGUACUUUCAGCAGGGAGGCGUUACCCGCAGAAGAAGCACCGGCUAACUCCGUGCCAGCAGCCGCGGUAAUAC